UACAGUCUAGGGACAAGCAUGUGCUCCAGCUAGAAGAGCAACACACUGAUAUGCGAAGUAGAAUCAAGCAUUUGGAGAGCUUAGUCCAUAAAUUAAUUGGACAUCAUGAGAGUGUGAACAAAAACUCCAAGAAAAAGUGCAACUUGUUAGAUUUCAGUGGUUCGGGAAAAAUAGUUGCAGAAGGACAUUGGUCUUCAAGUGAUCCAGUCGAGCUUGUUCAUUUUGUUCCUUUAGGUCUUAAUGCUACGAGAGUUUGGGUUGAUAUCCCAAGGGUCCCUAAUGCAUCUCUUUGGAUGCCAACAUCUGAGCUACAUUGCAUUGAAGAUGCUAUUGGUACUACAAUAGCUUGGCCAUCUGACAAAGUUGUUAUGCUUUGAAAAUCUGCAGUCCAAUAUUGGUGAAGAUGAUGACCUCCCUCAAUUCAAUAGCAAUGUAGUAAAUUAGUUAUUAUGUUUUUGCAGUUUGUUAAAUUUCAGUAAGUAGUCCAUAAUGGA